CUAUAGCGUAUAUUUAAGUUGCUGCAGUUAAAAAGCUCGUAGUUGGAUUUCGGGUGGGAAUGGCCGGUCCGCCGUUUCGGUGUGCACUUGCUACGCCCACCUUGCUGCCGGGGACGUGCUCUUGAGUUCACGCUCGGGACACGGAGUCGGCGAGGUUACUUUGAGUAAAUUAGAGUGUUCAAAGCAGGCCUACGCUCUGAAUACAUUAGCAUGGAAUAACACGAUAGGACUCUGGCCUAUCUUGUUGGUCUGUAGGACCGGAGUAAUGAUUAAGAGGGACAGUCGGGGGCAUUCGUAUUUCAUUGUCAGAGGUGAAAUUCUUGGAUUUAUGAAAGACGAACUACUGCGAAAGCAUUUGCCAAGGAUGUUUUCAUUAA
rnacentral:rRNA from 1 species